GACGAACGCUGGCGGCGUGCCUAAUACAUGCAAGUUGAGCGCUGAAGGUUGGUACUUGUACCAACUGGAUGAGCAGCGAACGGGUGAGUAACGCGUGGGUAAUCUGCCUUUGAGCGGGGGACAACAUUUGGAAACGAAUGCUAAUACCGCAUAAAAACUUUAAACACAAGUUUUAAGUUUGAAAGAUGCAAUUGCAUCACUCAAAGAUGAUCCCGCGUUGUAUUAGCUAGUUGGUGAGGUAAAGGCUAACCAAGGCGAUGAUACAUAGCCGACCUGAGAGGGUGAUCGGCCACAUUGGGACUGAGAAACGGCCCAAACUCCUACGGGAGGCAGCAGUAGGGAAUCUUCGGCAAUGGACGAAAGUCUGAACGAGCAACGCCGCGUGAGUGAAGAAGGUUUUCGGAUCGUAAAACUCUGUUGGUAGAGAAGAACGUUGGUGAGAGUGGAAAGCUCAUCAAGUGACGGUAACUAACCAGAAAGGGACGGCUAACUACGUG
rnacentral:rRNA from 1 species